GAGGAAUAUUGGUCAAUGGGGGCAACCCUGAUCCAGCAAUGCCGCGUGAGUGAAGAAGGCCUUCGGGUUGUAAAGCUCUUUUACCAGGGAAGAUGAUGACGGUACCUGGGGAAUAAGCUCCGGCUAACUUCGUGCCAGCAGCCGCGGUAAUACGAAGGGAGCUAGCGUUGUUCGGAAUUACUGGGCGCAAAGGGCGCGUAGGCGGCCCUGUAAGUCAGAUGUGAAAGCCCUGGGCUCAACCUGGGAACUGCAUUUGAUACUGCGGGGCUAGAGAUCGAGAGAGGAAAGGGGAAUUACGAGUGUAGAAGUGAAAUUCGUAGAUAUUCGUAGGAACACCGGUGGCGAAGGCGACUUUCUGGCUCGAUACUGACGCUAAAGCGCGAAAGCGUGGGGAGCAAACA
rnacentral:rRNA from 1 species